rnacentral:lncRNA from 1 species
GAUUUGCAUACAGCGAUGAUUGAUAGCUAGACAUUCGAUUACAAUUCUUAUACAGUCAACAAAACAGAACCGGGCAUACAGCAAGGCACGGUAUUACACCAGACGAGAAAAGACCACUACACACUCAAAGUCACAGUUUUCAGUACAGUAUAAUUUUUUUUGAAUUUCCCGUGAAACGAUUUUCACUUGACCACCACGAAGGCGCCGGAGGCGGCUUCCACAACGCCCGGAAUCGAGGCACACUGGAAGCUAGUUACGGUCGUAGUGGUACGUGAAAAUUUGCAAACUGAGUACUGAGUUUCGUGUGUUACGGGGAUAUAAAAAGAUUGAAAACCAAUGCAUCGAGGCGUAGCGAUUGCAUUUUGCAAACCAGACGGCAGACACCCAAGUAUAAAAGUUAAAAUAAAUUGAACCAGGUAUAAUAUUAUUAUCAUUUAUAAUGAGUAAGUAUCAGUAUUAACAUGAAUUAUAGGUAUACCUAAUUCUAUUACACAAUAGCAUUGAUUACAUAAUAUUAUAAUCAAUGAUAAUAAGUACAUAUGCAUAUAUUAUAGUAUGUCAUAAUAUGAUACAAAUUUCAGAUUUCUAGAUUUGAUCGAUAUUUUAUAUAGUGGUCUAUUGUUCUGUUUUGUGUACCUACCUAUACCCAUACAGCUGACUACAACAUCAUGACUGGAGUCGUCUAUGACGAUAACUUCAUCACACACAAAUGUUUAUGGGACGAAAACUACUCAGAGAAUCCACAGCGA